CUGCACUAACACACACACUGCAUUCACUACACUGACACACACUCUGCAUUCAUUACACUAACGGACACACUGUUCACUGCCCUAACACACACACACACACACACUGCAUUCACUACACUGACACACACUCUGCAUUCACUACAAUAACACACACACACACUGCAUUCACUACACUAACACACACACUGUAUUCACUGCACUAACACACACACUGCAUUCACU